GACGAACGCUGGCGGCGUGCCUAAUACAUGCAAGUCGAGCGGAAGUUGAAGAGCUUGCUCUUCAACUUUAGCGGCGGACGGGUGAGUAACACGUGGGCAACCUGCCCUGCAGAUCGGGAUAACUCCGGGAAACCGGUGCUAAUACCGAAUAGUUUUGGGUCCCUCCUGGGACCUAACGGAAAGACGGUUUCGGCUGUCACUGCAGGAUGGGCCCGCGGCGCAUUAGCUAGUUGGUGGGGUAACGGCCCACCAAGGCGACGAUGCGUAGCCGACCUGAGAGGGUGAUCGGCCACACUGGGACUGAGACACGGCCCAGACUCCUACGGGAGGCAGCAGUAGGGAAUCUUCCGCAAUGGACGCAAGUCUGACGGAGCAACGCCGCGUGAGUGAUGAAGGUUUUCGGAUCGUAAAACUCUGUUGCGAGGGAAGAAACCGUGCCAAUUAACUACUGGCACCUUGACGGUACCUCGCCAGAAAGCCACGGCUAACUACGUGCCAGCAGCCGCGGUAA
rnacentral:rRNA from 1 species